rnacentral:rRNA from 1 species
CAGUUGGGCAGUUUGACUGGGGCGGUCUCCUCCCAAAGAGUAACGGAGGAGCACAAAGGUACCCUCAGCACGGUCGGACAUCGUGCAACGAGCGUAAAGGUAGAAGGGUGCUUGACUGCGAGACUUACAAGUCGAGCAGGUGCGAAAGCAGGUCUUAGUGAUCCGGUGGUUCUGUAUGGAAGGGCCAUCGCUCAACGUAUAAAAGGUACGCCGGGGAUAACAGGCUGAU